rnacentral:misc_RNA from 1 species
AAGUCGUAACAAGGUUUCCGUAGGUGAACCUGCGGAAGGAUCAUUAAUGAAACUAUAUUCUCCCUUGGAGUUUUUCUAGCUGUUGCGCUUUGGCUGCACGCUGGUUGGCUCUUUGGGGGUUAUAUUUCCACAAACCCUCUGUGCAUGUUGGGAGGCUUCAUUGUCCUCUCCCAUUUCAUAUACUCUAAUGUUACAAUGUCUUAUAAUGCUAAAUACAUUAAACAACUUUCAACAACGGAUCUCUUGGCUCUC